UUGAAACCGCCUAAAUUUCUUCUUCAAUUUGGAAAUCUAAUCAAUUCUCUCAAUCAAUUGAAAUCAUUCUCCAAUUUAGCAUCUCUUUAUCAGUUGAAAUCAUUCUCCACUUUGGCAAAUUGAUUUCUCUUCAUAUUCACACGGCUUCUCAAAACCGCACACAUUUUGCCCUAGCUAUCAUCUUUCAUCCGCAUUCAAUUUUACAAACCCUAAAUCUCAUCUACGGCUUCACAUGCAUCUAGGGCUUCAUCUGUAGCGAUUGUACCUGGCCAUACCCACUUCAGAAAUCCCUAAAUCUCAAGCAUUCGAACUCUCAUCUAGUUGAGUGCGUCCAUAAUCUACACGAUGUUGAUGAAUUUUGGUAACGAUUAGGGCUCAAAAGUUCCACAUUUGAAGUUAAGCCAUCAUGUGUAGGAGGACGCCAAGAUUGCAAAGAAACAAGCACAUGUUAUUGUAAAAAAUGGACCACUUGCAAAGAAAGUUGAGAGUCCUAAUGAGUAAUGAAAGUAGCUCUAAAGAAAGUGAUUCUGUUGAGAUGUUAAAGUUGUCCCACCAAAGAAACCUAUAGCAGCUGUUGCAACGAAGAAGCCAGCAUCAAGUUCGGAUGUAAGGUUUACAACCUAUAAAUCAUUUCUCAACCAUUGUUUGAUCACAAGGGUUAUCAGAUGCAAAUGAAGAGGUUGUUUCAGAUUGAAUCAAAGUGAGGUAUAUAUUUAACAAUGGAAGGAGACCUGAUAACAAGUUAUAGAGGUGGCUUUAGUGGUCUUGAUGUCACUGCUGUUGAAUCCAAUGAGGACCUUGAUGUCAUGAGGCUUUUGAGGGAGGUAUUGUGUGUGUCAACUAUUCGUAUCCAUGCUUCUCUCAAGCUCCAUGGGGUGGGAAAGAGCGUAUCGAUUUGGCUGUGAACUUGGAGAAUGGGGACUUGAGAAUUACUUGAGAGUGAAGAAGCCUUGGGGUUGGUAUAUAUUUCCAUCUUCUAAGUUUUAACUUUUAAGAUGACAAAAGAUCAAGGUACCAUUUGGCAUGUAUGUUCUUGUAUUGGUUACUUAUGUAAUAUGUACAAGUCAAACUCUCGAAAUAGAAAUUUUAUAAUUAGUAAGACUUCUACUAAGGAUCUAUUCCAGAUUGAUCUUUGAAUGUGGUUUGAUCUAAGACUCCAAAGUAAGUAUAUAUUGUGUUGUUUUAAGAUGAAUUGUAGGUAGAGUUGGGUUGCUGAUGAAUUAUGAAAAAGAUAUGGGGUUUGUGAAACUAUUUUUUUCUUUUUGAUUUAAUUUCUAACUGUUAACUUAAUUAAGCACUUAUUUUAAUUGUAUAUUUUGUGGAUGUUUUAUAAUUUGUUUCAUGUUCUGUUACAGGGGGGUGGGUUAUCAUCAAUUGGAUAAGGAGUUAGCGGUUCUUCAUCUUAUUGCCAUAGUUUGACUCUUGGCAAGCUAGAUGGAGGCAUGGGAAAUAAGCGGGUCAAGCGAAUCGAGUACGCGGAGAAAAGCAUGGUUUGGAUACGAGGUAAGUAAAGCUUACACCCUUUUUUGUAGAAUGCCUAAUUAAUUACAAGGGUUAUGAAUAUGAUAAGUUAAUGAUUAAAUGUGAUGUUCCGACGUAAUUUGAUACGGGUCGGAACAAGUGAAACUGAUGAAAACCAUGGUGGUUGUAAAAAAAGGGUAAAAUAGUAAAUUAGUCACGUGUUGACAAAUGUAAGUAAAUCUUACAAAUCUUAGUAUAGAAUUACAACAUAAAGUAUGUUUGGUAAUUUUUAUAGAUUUUUCUAAAGUUGUUCGACAAGGUAUUCGCGGAUGUUUUGUCAAUAAAUUAUUUGUUGACAGCAACAGUUCCGCUACUUGUAGAAAUUAUUUCGAGGUCUUAACCAUCGAGUUUUGACACAAUAUUUGAUCAGAAGUUGGUUUACAACAUAAAGGACGUUUAGUAAUUUUUAUAGAUUUUUAUAAAGUUGUUUGACGAGGUUUUCACGGAUGUUUUGUCAAUAAAUUAGUUGUUGACAGCAACAGUUCCGCUAGUUGCAGAAAUUAUUUCGAGGUCUUAACCAUCGAGUUUUGACACAAUAUUUGACCAGAAGUUGGCUUACAACAUAAAGGAUGUUUAGUAAUUUUUAUAGAUUUUUAUGAAGUUGUAUGACGAGGUUUUCGCGGAUGUUUUGUCAAUAAAUUAGUUGUUGACAGCAACAGUUCCGCUAUUGCAGAAAUUAUUUCGAGGUCUUAACCAUCGAGUUUUGACACGAUAUUUGACCAGAAGUUGGUUUACAACAUAAAGGAUGAUUAGUAAUUUUAUAGAUUUUUGUAAAGUUGUUUGAUGAGGUUUUCGCAGAUGUUUUGUCAAUAAAUUAGUUGUUGACAGCAACACUUCCGCUACUUGCAAAAAUUAUUUCGAGGUCAAUCGAUUUUUGAAACGAUAUUUGACCAGAAGUUGGUUUGCAACAUAAAGGAUAUUUAGUAAUUUUUAUAGAUUUUUUUAAAAUUGUUCGACGAGAUUUUCACGGAUGUUUUGUUAAUAAAUUAGUUGUUGACAACCACAGUUCCGUUACUUGCAGAAAUUAUUUCGUUGUCUUAACUAUUAAGUUUUGACAUGAUAUUUGGCCAGAAGUUGUUUAACAACAUAAAUAAUGUUUGGUAAGUUUUAUACAUUUUAGACAUAAGCCUUUUUGGGUCAAGUGCCUAUAAACGGGUCUUUUCCAUAAAACAACCAACCGAAGUGUAGAAUCCGGGAAAAUUGGUCAACUGUACUAAAUCCACCACGAGUAUAGUUGUGGUGAAAUGUAAGUAGAUAAUUCAAAUAUGGAAAAUGAUGGGUGAAAAGAAUGAGCGAAAUUUAAACUUAAAAGUUUAAAUUCUCUAAACGGGUCAAAACGAAUUACGCGCAUAACUUGAGUAUUGGUUACGUAAUUCACAAAAGUUACAAAUCUGAAAUAAAGAUUUUGAGUUAAAUACUUUGGUGUAUGAUUUAUGAUUAACUAGAAACAGGUGUGUGAUGUUAUAGUCAAACGGGUCGAAUAAUCAUAUAAAGGAUUUAUAAGCCAAUAGCUUAUAAUUCAGAAUUUUAUGCAAACCGAGGUGAUAAACGGAUCCGUAGUUUAAUUACGGACGUGUGGGAAAAAGAAUAGCGCAAAAUGGACUUGUAGAUAAAAGUUAUGGGAAUUUGAAGUUUAUUAUUUUUGUAAAAAUGGAGCUGGGCAAAUAUGCAGGUCCAGAGAAUGGACCCGCUGGAAAACAGACUCCCCCGCGGCACGCGGGGGGAUGAGUGAAUGCUGGCGCGACACGCGGGGCUUGUCGCGGCCCGCGAACGAAUUAAAGAAAUCUCUCGCGUGGCGCGAGAGACUUAGAUCUGAAUUUUUAUUUUUGAUUUCGUUUAUUUGAUAUUGGAACUUGUUUAUUCUUGUUUCUAUGAUUAUCAAAACUAACUAUUAAGUUGGUUUUGACAUUGGUGAAUGUCGUUACCAUCCGGAUGCCGAUCAAGCAACGAAGUAAACCGAACACAUACUUAUUGAAGCUUCCGCGAUAUCUUUCUUUUGUUUAUUUUAAAAAGGAAAGUUGUAAACACUUGAUCUAUAUUUUGAAUACUCUAAUUUUGUAUGAACGUUAACUUGUC